GAUCCUGUAGCUCAGCCCGGUUAGAGCACUGCUCUGAUAAGGCAGGGGUCCCAAGUUCAAAUCUUGGCAGGAUCA
rnacentral:tRNA from 1 species